rnacentral:rRNA from 1 species
GAUGAACGCCGGCGGUGUGCCUAAUACAUGCAAGUCGUACGCACUGGCCCAACUGAUUGAUGGUGCUUGCACCUGAUUGACGAUGGAUUACCAGUGAGUGGCGGACGGGUGAGUAACACGUAGGUAACCUGCCCCGGAGUGGGGGAUAACAUUUGGAAACAGAUGCUAAUACCGCAUAACAACAAAAGCCACAUGGCUUUUGUUUGAAAGAUGGCUUUGGCUAUCACUCUGGGAUGGACCUGCGGUGCAUUAGCUAGUUGGUAAGGUAACGGCUUACCAAGGCGAUGAUGCAUAGCCGAGUUGAGAGACUGAUCGGCCACAAUGGAACUGAGACACGGCCCAGACUCCUACGGGAGGCAGCAGUGGGGGAUAUUGCACAAUGGAGGAAACUCUGACGCAGCGACGCCGCGUGAGUGAAGAAGUAUUUCGGUAUGUAAAGCUCUAUCAGCAGGGAAGAAAGACCUCGAAA